rnacentral:rRNA from 1 species
UCGAGAGGCUUCGGCAAUGGGGGAAACCCUGACCGAGCGACGCCGCGUGGGGGAUGAAGGCCUUUGGGUCGUAAACCCCUUUCGACCGGGAAGAAUGACGGCGAGACAAAUAAUCUCGCCGUUUGACGGUACCGGUAGAAGAAGCUCCGGCUAACUCCGUGCCAGCAGCCGCGGUAAUACGGGGGGAGCGAACGUUGUUCGGAAUCACUGGGCGUAAAGGGCGUGUAGGCGGUUCGGUAAGUGGAAUGUGAAAUCCCCCGGCUUACCCGGGGAACUGCAUCCCAUACUGCUGGACUUGAGUGCGGGAGAGGAUGGAGGAAUUCCUGGUGUAGCGGUGAAAUGCGUAGAUAUCAGGAGGAACACCUGUGGCGAAGGCGUCCAUCUGGCCCGUUACUGACGCUGAGGCGCGAAAGCUAGGGGAGCAAACGG